rnacentral:tRNA from 3 species
GCCGCCGUAGCUCAGCCCGGGAGAGCACUCGGCUGAAGACCGAGCUGUCGCAUGUUCAAGUCUUGCCGGCGGCA